CCUACGGGAGGCAGCAGUGGGGAAUAUUGCACAAUGGGGGAAACCCUGAUGCAGCGACGCCGCGUGAGUGAAGAAGUAUUUCGGUAUGUAAAGCUCUAUCAGCCGGGAAGAAAAUGACGGUACCCGAUCAAGCAGCCCCGGCUAAAUACGUGCCAGCAGCCGCGGGAAUACGUAGGGGGCAAGCGUUAUCCGGAUUUACUGGGUGUAAAGGGAGCGUAGACGGCAGCACCAGUCUGGAGUGAAAUGCCGGGGCUUAACCCCGGAACUGCAUUGGAAACUGUGCAGCUUGAGUGCAGGAGAGGUACGUGGAAUUCGUGGUGUAGCGGUGAAAUGCGUAGAUAUUAGGAGGAACACCAGUGGCGAAGGCAGCUUACUGGACUGUAACUGACGUUGAGGCUCGAAAGCGUGGGGAGCAAACAGGAUUAGAUACCCUUGUAGUC
rnacentral:rRNA from 1 species